rnacentral:rRNA from 1 species
UACGUAGGUGGCAAGCGUUGUCCGGAAUUAUUGGGCGUAAAGCGCGCGCAGGCGGUCUCUUAAGUCUGAUGUGAAAGCCCACGGCUCAACCGUGGAGGGUCAUUGGAAACUGGGGGACUUGAGUACUGGAGAGGAGAGUGGAAUUCCAUGUGUAGCGGUGAAAUGCGUAGAUAUAUGGAGGAACACCAGUGGCGAAGGCGGCUCCCUGGCCAGUAACUGACGCUGAGGCGCGAAAGCGUGGGGAGCAAACAGG